UGGGGGCUGUUUUCCUGUGGUGGAGAGAUGCUUUUAUUUUCUAGCACCAUAUGAAAUCAGUUCUUA
rnacentral:pre_miRNA from 1 species